AAAGAAAGAGGGAGGAAGGAAGAACACAUGCAAGUCGAACGAGACCUUCGGGUAUAGUGGCGAACGGGUGCGUAACGCGUGGGAACCUGCCCUUAGGUUCGGAAUAACUCCCAGAAAGGGGUGCUAAUACCGGAUAAUGUCUUCGGACCAAAGAUUUAUCGCCUUUGGAUGGGCACGCGUUGGAUUAGCGAGUUGGUAGGGUAAAAGCCUACCAAGGCGACGAUCCAUAGCUGGUCUGAGAGGAUGAGCAGCCACACUGGUACUGAGACACGGCCCAGACGCCUACGGGAGGCAGCAGUGGGGAAUAUUGGACAAUGGGCGAAAGCCUGAUCCAUCAAUGCCGCGUGAGUGAUGAAGGCCUUAGGGUUGUAAAGCUCUUUUACCCGGGAUGAUAAUGACAGUACCGUGAGAAUAAGCGCCGGCUAACUCCGUG
rnacentral:rRNA from 1 species